GCCACCGCCUCCCGCGCUUUGCAGACGGCCCCUCAGGCCCUGAUUCCGACACGGCCCGACAGCGCCUCAGGGGGCGACGCGGUGCCCGGGCCUGAGAGCGCCACAGCGGGCCCGGCCCCCGGAAUUACCAAGCAUGGCACUCAGUACAACAGUCAACUGAAGGAAAUGGUCUCCAGCUGUGGGAGUCUCCUGGGAGAAGUCGAUGACUUGGCAGAACUGUCACAUCAGCAAGGACAAUGAAGUCCUUCUGCAUGUCUGCGUCUGUGGCCUCCUUUACUGGCUGAAGUCCCGCGUCAGUACUCCAUAGAAAGCCUUGCCAAGGCAGUCUGCUCAUGAGGGGACACGUCUGCUCAUUUUACUCAAAAUUUUGAAGAAUUUUCACCAGAGCACUGCACAGUCUGAGGACGUUGCUGCAGAACGUUCAUCCGGUUUGCAGCAAACUACAAGAGACUUUGGGUAUAGAUGUCUUGUUUAUCCCAUUGGCCCAGAUCCUCAGAGGCAUGUAGGCUCCUAACUUCCAUUGACUCCAUGCCUGGAUUAUUGUGUCUAGAAGAGGCCCUAAAAGGUCUUUGUGGUGAGGCUGUGCAGGUAGCUGAUGUUUUGUAUUCCUUGCUCAAAACAAGGAUUUAUUAAAAUUUUUAGCAUUGAACAAUCUCGUUGCCUGUUCUUUUAUACUUUUAAUGUAACAACCUGAUGUGGGCUGUUAAGACUGCAAAAGGUUCUCUGGCUGCAUGUUCACGUGUAUUGAAGAUAGCUGACACCUGAUUAGGUGCUGAUUGGUUUCAUAUAGCAGGUGAGUUUAGAAGCCACAAUAAACACUUCUGGGGCUAGAGAUACUCUUAUUAGAUCUCUUACAAGAAAGAAGCAGCUGUCUACACGUGGGCUUAGAAAUAGGAAUCAGGGAAAUGAUCAAUAAGUCAUAUUUUAAAUUUUAUCAUGUAUUUUUCUUAAAGUAUAGUUGCAAGUUUGCUGACUUGGAAGGGGCUUGGUGAAGGAAACUGCUUGGACAAUGAGGAAUCCUGUAUAACAUUUGUGGUGUUCAGAGGCUUAGAAUAAGAAUUAGGAUUGGUUUUGAGUUGGAAAGAACAUAUGUAAAACUUCAGUAAUAUUGUCAGUUGUGUUGCUAUCUAUCUGAAUCACUGGAUCCUGAAAACCUGUUCCCCUAGGGUAGAGACUUUUUGUUUUCCCCCCUUCCCCAGGCCUUGCUGCAAUUGUGUU